UACGUAGGUGGCAAGCGUUGUCCGGAUUUACUGGGCGUAAAGGGCGUGCAGGCGGUUUGUUUAGUCUAGGGUGAAAGCUCCCGGCUUAACUGGGAGAGGUCCUUGGAUACUGGCAAACUUGAGGGAGGCAGAGGAAAGUGGAAUUCCCGGUGUAGUGGUGAAAUGCGUAGAUAUCGGGAGAAACACCUGUGGCGAAGGCGGCUUUCUGGGCCUUACCUGACGCUGAGACGCGAAAGCGUGGGGAGCGAACCGG
rnacentral:rRNA from 1 species